CUCCUACGGGGGGCAGCAGUAGGGAAUCUUCCACAAUGGACGAAAGUCUGAUGGAGCAACGCCGCGUGAGUGAAGAAGGGUUUCGGCUCGUUAAGCUCUGUUGGCAGUGAAGAAAGAUAGAGGUAGUAACUGGCCUUUAUUUGACGGUAAUUACUUAGAAAGUCACGGCUCACUACGUGCCAGCAGCCGCGGGAAUACGUAGGGGGCAAGCGGUGUCCGGCUUUUUUGGGCGUAAA
rnacentral:rRNA from 1 species